GAUGAACGCUAGCUACAGGCUUAACACAUGCAAGUCGCGGGGCAGCAUGGGGGUUGCUUGCAAUCCCCGAUGGCGACCGGCGCACGGGUGAGUAACGCGUAUCCAACCUGCCCUUCACCACGGGAUAACCCGGCGAAAGUCGGACUAAUACCGUAUGUUGUCCAUUGACGGCAUCCGAUUUGGACGAAAGGCUUGGCGGUGAGGGAUGGGGAUGCGUCCGAUUAGCCAGACGGCGGGGUAACGGCCCACCGUGGCUACGAUCGGUAGGGGUUCUGAGAGGAAGGUCCCCCACACUGGAACUGAGACACGGUCCAGACUCCUACGGGAGGCAGCAGUGAGGAAUAUUGGUCAAUGGGCGUAAGCCUGAACCAGCCAAGUAGCGUGCAGGAUGACGGCCCUAUGGGUUGUAAACUGCUUUUAUGCGGGGAUAAAGUGGCCCACGUGUGGGCUUUUGCAGGUACCGCAUGAAUAAGAACCGGCUAAUUCCGUG
rnacentral:rRNA from 1 species